rnacentral:rRNA from 1 species
GAUGAACGCUGGCGGCGUGCCUAAUACAUGCAAGUCGAGCGAACGGACGAGAAGCUUGCUUCUCUGAUGGUAGCGGCGGACGGGUGAGUAACACGUGGAUAACCUACCUAUAAGACUGGGAUAACUUCGGGAAACCGUAGCUAAUACCGGAUAAUAUUUUGAACCGCAUGGUUCAAAAGUGAAAGACGGUCUUGCUGUCACUUAUAGAUGGAUCCGCGCUGCAUUAGCUAGUUGGUAAGGUAACGGCUUACCAAGGCAACGAUGCAUAGCCGACCUGAGAGGGUGAUCGGCCACACUGGAACUGAGACACGGUCCAGACUCCUACGGGAGGCAGCAGUAGGGAAUCUUCCGCAAUGGGCGAAAGCCUGACGGAGCAACGCCGCGUGAGUGAUGAAGGUCUUCGGAUCGUAAAACUCUGUUAUUAGGGAAGAACAUAUGUGUAAGUAACUGUGCACAUCUUGACGGUACCUAAUCAGAAAGCCACGGCUAACUACGUG